CCUCGUGUUGCGGAAUGCAGUAAUAAGGCAAUUUAGCGUUUUCAAGAAAUCAAUUGGCACCCAGUGCAAUGAAAAAUGUAGUUGUAAGGAAUCGUGGUUAAUUGGUAGAACGAGAUAGGAAUCGAGUGGUUCUAACUUUUCAUUUGAAAAUGUUCCUUGCGCUUUAUCUCUGUGUGAUUUUUAUGAUAUUGCAAUCUACGCUGUCAUCUUCUAGUUCAAAUGGAGAUCUAUCAAUUUCUAAAGAUUUUGAAUUGGAUGACUUAAUCAAACUGCCCAUGACUGAUACUUCUGAUUCAAUGGAGUCGAAAAAAAGUCUAAAAGAGUAUUAUAGGUGGUUAG